rnacentral:lncRNA from 1 species
CGGCACAAGGGUUGUGCAGAGCCAGCCUGUGGCUCUGACGUCUAUGAGUGUGCAGACAGCGCAGACGCAGCCCGCAAUAUACAGGAGCAGAGUUGCCCUGAACACGCUGUCCCACAAUGCCAACCACAAAUGGGGCCAGCUAAGGGUGUGGUGGGAGAAGCCAUCCUGCAGCUCUGAGAUCCACAAAGUGGAGAUAGCAGUAGCACCAACUCCACUGCUUUGGAGGCUGCCCAGUCGAAUUUGGGAGCCAGCGAGGGACCUGACAGCAGCACAUUGGACACCAGAAGACACCCAAAGGCUGGAAUGCUACGUCGCGAUGUCAGCUCGCUGCAACCCUUGCUUCCUGAGUUCAUGUGAUCCUCCUGCUUCAGCCUCCUGAGUAGCUGGGAUUAGAGGUGGAGAGGAGUGGAAGACCUUCUGGUGUGGGCUGGGCAGCAAUUCACUUGAAGGAGAAACAGCCCGGGUGUGGAGAGGCGGCCAUCCUUGGCGGGAUCCUUUCUAAGGAGCCGAGAAAUCAACGUAGAGCUUCCUCUAUCUGAUUCUCUAACAACUGCAGACCUUCCAUGAGUCAAGCUUUGUGUCAAAAGGACAAAUUAAAAGGACCUAUAAAUGGCACCACCCAGCCCAAUGGACAGAUGCCCCAGGCUGCAGAUUCUGUCAGUGCUGUUCUCGAAGAGGCCCAGGCACAUGCUGAAACAUGGAAGGUAAAACCAGCAAGCAGCUGGCAUACAUUCCACCCAGCCGUCCCCCAGGAGAAUUGCUUGAGCUCCGGAGUUCCAGACCAGCCUGGGCAACAGAACAAGGGCUCAUCUCUACUAGAAAUCAAAAAAUUAGCCAGGAUAAGAAGCCAGCCCUCGGGAACCACCAGGAGCCAGGAGCACCCCCGGCCCCCCAAGGCCCCAAGUCCAGCCUGCCCCACCCCCUCCGGUGCAGAGGUCCUGUGACACCAGUGGCAGCCCCGCCACACCCCCCAAGGCCAAGGGCACAGGCAGCGUGGUCUUCCCCGCCCCGCCCGACUACUUCCUGCCGCCACAGCCACCAAUGCCGCCCCUGGAGUACCCAGAGCUCCCGCUGCCGUCCCCGGACUUCAUGGAGACCCCCCUGGACUUCGUGCUCCCUCCCCUCGCUGUCGCCAAGAGGCCUCCUAUGCCCCACCCCCCCAACAGGCACGAAGCAUCAAUGUUCACAAGCAGCAAAUGAAUAAAAGUUAAACGUUCUUC